GAUAGAUAGAUAGAUAGAUAGAUAGAUAGAUAGAUAGGAUUAUUGUGGGAAUUGGAUCACAUAUGGGAUCACAUACAAGAAUUGGACCACAUGCUGAGAAGUCCCACCAUAUGUGCCCCAGCAAGCUGGUGAACCAGAGAAGCUGGUGGUGUAAUUAAGUCUGAAUCUAAAGGCCUGAGAACAAGCAGAGCCAAUGGUGUAAGUCUCAGUUCAAGGCCAAAGGCCAAGAACAUGCAGGGGGGGAGUGUAGGGCAGGUGUAAGUUUCCACAUCUGCAGGUCCAAAAACCUGGAGUCCCUGAUGUCCAAGGUAGAAAACUGAAAGUCUCAGCUCCAGAGAAAAGAGUGACUUCAUCUUUCCACUGCUUUUUAAUUCUAUCCAGGCCUUCAAUGAAUUGGAUGAUGUCCACCCACACUGGUGAGGGCAGAUCUUUCUUACUCCACCCACUGAUGCAGAUGUCAAUCUCUUCUGGAAACACCUUCACGGGCAUUCCCAGAGCUAAAGCUUCACCAGCAUUAGUUGGUAAAUAUGUGAUUAGGAACUCUUUUGUGAACCAGAAAAGAGAAAUCUUGCACUGAUUGGAAUAUGGCAGCCACUCACCAUCUCCCCUGUCUGCUCUCACUUAGUUUAUCUGACCCAGUGGGAAUGGAGAAUCUCAGGCAUAAAACCAACCGCUUCGUGGGUCACUCUGGAAAAUUCUAAACUGAAGCUUUUUUGAGAAAGGAGACAUUACCUCAGAACUUCCACAUGUAGCUACUAUGGAGUUUCUGUUUAUGUGAAUGAAUAUUUUCACCAGAUAUUGGAAACAUGCUAAAGCUGGAUUCCAGUGCAAUAAAGGCAACUCAUGUAGCCAUUGGCUUGUGAUAUUAUGAGAAAUACAGUUAAAUUAGACCAAUACUCCACCAGGAAUUGAGACCAAAAUAAAUGAUCAUUUUUUAAAAAAGAAAAA